rnacentral:ncRNA from 16 species
AAUGGUUGACAAGACUGACGGAAGUGGAGUAAACCACAUGAAGUAUAACGAUAUGAAUGCCGACCGUCUGGGCGAGGAGU